rnacentral:rRNA from 1 species
CCUACGGGAGGCAGCAGUAGGGAAUCUUCCACAAUGGGCGAAAGCCUGAUGGAGCAACGCCGCGUGGGUGAAGAAGGUCUUCGGAUCGUAAAACCCUGUUGUUAGAGAAGAAAGUGCGUGAGAGUAACUGUUCACGUUUCGACGGUAUCUAACCAGACAGCCACGGCUAACUACGUGCCAGCAGCCGCGGUAAUACGUAGGUGGCAAGCGUUAUCCGGAUUUAUUGGGCGUAAAGGGAACGCAGGCGGUCUUUUAAGUCUGAUGUGAAAGCCUUCGGCUUAACCGGAGUAGUGCAUUGGAAACUGGGAGACUGGAGUGCAGAAGAGGAGAGUGGAACUCCAUGUGUAGCGGUGAAAUGCGUAGAUAUAUGGAAGAACACCAGUGGAGAAAGCGGCUCUCUGGUCUGUAACUGACGCUGAGGUUCGAAAGCGUGGGUAGCAAACAGGAUUAGAUACCCUUGUAGUC